rnacentral:rRNA from 1 species
CCUACGGGGGGCAGCAGUAGGGAAUUUUCCACAAUGGGGGCAACCCUGAUGGAGCAACGCCGCGUGAUGGAUGAAGGCUUUCGGGUCGUAAACAUCUUUUGUCUGUGACGCGGUAGCAGACGAAUAAGGAUCGGCUAACUACGUGCCAGCAGCCGCGGUCAUACGUAGGAUCCAAGCGUUAUCCGGAUUUACUGGGCGUAAAGAGUGCGUAGGUGGCAAAGUAAGUUAAUAGUGAAAUCGUGUGGCUCAACCAUACUCACAUUAUUAAAACUACUUAGCUUGAAGAUGAGAGAGGUCACUGGAAUUCCAAGUGUAGGAGUGAAAUCCGUAGAUAUUUGGAGGAACACCGAUGGCGUAGGCAGGUGACUGGCUCAUCUUGACACUAAGGCACGAAAGCGUGGGGAGCAAACGGGAUUAGAUACCCUUGUAGUC